rnacentral:rRNA from 1 species
UACGUAGGCAGCGAGCGUUGUUCGGAGUUACUGGGCGUAAAGCGCACGCAGGCGGUCGUGUAAGUUUGGGGUUACAGCUCCCGGCUCAACUGGGAGAGCGCCUUGAAGACUGCAGGACUUGAGGGCCAGAGAGGGACACAGAAUUCCGGGUGUAGUGGUGAAAUGCGUAGAUAUCCGGAGGAAUACCAAAGGCGAAGGCAGUGUCCUGGCUGGUGACUGACGCUGAGGUGCGAAAGCUAGGGGAGCGAACGGG